rnacentral:rRNA from 1 species
UAGUUCAGCACUAAGUCACUUUGUCUUUAUGGCAAAUGUGAGAUGCAGUGUAUGGAACAUCUUAAAUCUAGUAUGAGAAAUUAACGAUUUAAGUCCUUCUUAAAUGAGGCCAUUUACCCAUAGAGGGUGCCAGGCCCGUAUAACGUUAAUGAUUACUAGAAGAUGUUUCCAAAGAGUCGUGUUGCUUGAUAGUGCAGCACUAAGUGGGUGGUAAACUCCAUCUAAAACUAAAUAUAACCAUGAGACCGAUAGUAAACAAGUACCGUGAGGGAAAGUUGAAAAGAACUCUGAAUAGAGAGUUAAAUAGUACGUGAAACUGCUUAGAGGUUAAGCCCGAUGAACCUGAAUAUCCGUUAUGGAAAAUUCAUCAUUGUGAUUGUAAUAUUUAAACAAUAUUAUAAUAAUAGUGUGCAUUUUUUCCAUAUAAGGACAUUGUAAUCUAUUAACAUGCUAUUUAUCAAAAGAUCAUUUGCUUAUGUUUAUUCCAAUUAGUUUGCUUGCAAGUUAACACAGAAUAAAUGCUUAUGAUUUGAUAAAGUGUUGAUAGAUUUUAUUAUAUAUAGUGCUUAAAUUCUUUGAAUUUUAUAAUGGCAUUGGAAUCAUUGGUUUCAGUGUUUAUUAUAUGCGCUUAUAUGAUUAACAAUGCG